AAGCAGCAGGCGGAGAAACUGCGCCCAGCAGCUCUGAGCGACCGACCUCCACGCGCGACCGGGAGACACUGCCUCCGCCGCCGCCGACCGCUCGCGCCGCACCCCCUCGCACGUCACCACGUGCGCUGCCGCCGCCGACGCCUCCCAGCCCGCUUCCGUCUCGAAUCCAUCUGCAAAUCACAGGUGCCAAACUUCAUUAUCCACCCCACCACCUUGCCCGGGAGGGAGAUCUGUGAAAGCGAAACGUGAUUUAAGCUGGGAUCUGGCAGCAACUUCGUGGACUCUGAAGGGCACGUGGGAAAGGAGUUUUGAUUGAAGGCUGCACAUUUUGUCUGCAAGUUUUUUCAAA
rnacentral:lncRNA from 1 species